UACGAAGGGGGCUAGCGUUGCUCGGAAUUACUGGGCGUAAGCGUGCGCAGGCGGUUUUGUAAGUCUGUCGUGAAAUCCCCGGGCUCAACCUGGGAAUUGCGAUGGAGACUGCAAGGCUAGAAUCUGGCAGAGGGGGGUAGAAUUCCACGUGUAGCAGUGAAAUGCGUAGAGAUGUGGAGGAACACCGAUGGCGAAGGCAGCCCCCCUGGGGUCAAGAUUGACGCUCAUGCACGAAAGCGUGGGGAGCAAACAAGG
rnacentral:rRNA from 1 species